UACGUAGGGGGCGAGCGUUGUCCGGAUUCAUUGGGCGUAAAGCGCGCGUAGGCGGCUCCGCAAGUCGGCCGUGAAAUCUCCGGGCUCAACUCGGAGGGGUCGGGCGAGACUGCGGGGCUCGAGGUGGGCAGAGGGCAGUGGAAUUCCGGGUGUAGUGGUGGGAAUGCGUAGAGAUCCGGAGGAACACCAGUGGCGAAGGCGGCUGCCUGGGCCUGGCCUGACGCUGAGGCGCGAAAGCUAGGGUAGCAAACGGGG
rnacentral:rRNA from 1 species